ACUCUUGUCUUCUGGAAGAACAGCAAGUGUUCUAACUUGUGGGUCAUCCCUCCAGCUCCAGAAUUGUUGAUUCUUUCUUCUUGGUAAAGCCUGCUAUUGAAUCCCUUUCAUGAAAAUUUCAGUCAGCGAAGGACAGGGCGAUGGAGCCGCGGAAAGAAGAGCAUUGUAAGCCCUCGGCGGAGUGUGAGGUCUUCUCUUUUUCUUGAUUACACCCUAGAUAUUCAUUUUAAGCCAAAUCCACCUAUAUUAAAAUAUCAAGUUGAAAGGGAUGGCCCAAAGAUUUUUCAUGAAUACAGAUUAAGAGGCACUAUCAUUCCUUUGUCUGUGUCAACUUAACAAAACUCUAAUUAGUCUUCUUAUAAUGUUUUAGUGACCCUGGACUUAAAAGGUUGUCAUCCAUUCUACAACAGAGUAUUAGUGAUAUUUGAAGAGCAUAACUCUGACACUUGACAUUAAAUAUGAGAAGUAUUGAGGCCGAACACAAAGGAACAGGGG
rnacentral:lncRNA from 1 species